rnacentral:rRNA from 1 species
AGUGGCGGACGGGUGAGUAACGCGUGGGUAACCUGCCUCAUACAGGGGGAUAACAGUUAGAAAUGACUGCUAAAACCGCAUAAGCGCACAAAACCGCAUGGUUUGGUGUGAAAAACUCCGGUGGUAUGAGAUGGACCCGCGUCUGAUUAGCUAGUUGGAGAGGUAACGGCUCACCAAGGCGACGAUCAGUAGCCGACCUGAGAGGGUGACCGGCCACAUUGGAACUGAGACACGGCCCAAACUCCUACGGAAGGCAGCAG